rnacentral:rRNA from 1 species
AUUGAACGCUGGCGGCAUGCCUUACACAUGCAAGUCGAACGGUAACAGGUUAAGCUGACGAGUGGCGAACGGGUGAGUAGUGUAUCGGAACGUGCCCAGUCGUGGGGGAUAACUGCUCGAAAGAGCAGCUAAUACCGCAUACGACCUGAGGGUGAAAGCGGGGGAUCGCAAGACCUCGCGCGAUUGGAGCGGCCGAUAUCAGAUUAGGUAGUUGGUGGGGUAAAGGCCUACCAAGCCGACGAUCUGUAGCUGGUCUGAGAGGACGACCAGCCACACUGGGACUGAGACACGGCCCAGACUCCUACGGGAGGCAGCAGUGGGGAACUUUGGACAAUGGACGCAAGUCUGAUCCAGCCAUGCCGCGUGCGGGAAGAAGGCCUUCGGGUUGUAAACCGCUUUUGUCAGGGAAGAAACGCUCUGGGUUAAUACCUCGGGGUAAUGACGGUACCUGAAGAAUAAGCACCGGCUAACUACGUGCCAGCCGCCGCCGUAA